UGCCCAAUGCGGGAAUCGAACCCGGGUCCUAGUGGUCGAAAACCAAACGGUUUACCCAGCCUUCCACUAAUAAUGUGAGC